UUAACUCAAAUUUGUAUGGUGUUGGAACGUUUACCUACGUUUGUCGCUAGGGGUGCUGCAUACAAAUUUGAGUUA
rnacentral:pre_miRNA from 1 species